rnacentral:rRNA from 1 species
CCUACGGGAGGCAGCAGUGGGGAAUAUUGCACAAUGGGGGAAACCCUGAUGCAGCCAUGCAGCGUGUGUGAAGAAGGCCUUCGGGUUGUAAAGCACUUUCAGCGAGGAGGAAAGGGUGUAAGUUAAUACCUUACAUCUGUGACGUUACUCGCAGAAGAAGCACCGGCUAACUCCGUGCCAGCAGCCGCGGUAAUACGGAGGGUGCGAGCGUUAAUCGGAAUUACUGGGCGUAAAGCGUGCGCAGGCGGUUUGUUAAGCGAGAUGUGAAAGCCCCGGGCUCAACCUGGGAACCGCAUUUCGAACUGGCAAACUAGAGUCUUGUAGAGGGGGGUAGAAUUCCAGGUGUAGCGGUGAAAUGCGUAGAGAUCUGGAGGAAUACCGGUGGCGAAGGCGGCCCCCUGGACAAAGACUGACGCUCAGGCACGAAAGCGUGGGGAGCAAACA